rnacentral:rRNA from 1 species
UACGUAGGGGGCGAGCGUUAUUCGGAAUUAUUGGGCGUAAAGGGCGCGUAGGCGGCUGUACAAGUCAAAGGUGAAAUCCCUCGGCUCAACUGAGGAACUGCCUUUGAAACUGUACGGCUUGAGGCCGGGAGGGGGUAGCGGAAUUCCCAGUGUAGCGGUGAAAUGCGUAGAUACUGGGAGGAACACCAGUGGCGAAGGCGGCUACCUGGACCGGUUCUGACGCUGAGGCGCGAAAGCGUGGGUAGCAAACAGG